AUUGAACGCUGGCGGCAUGCCUUACACAUGCAAGUCGAACGGCAGCACGGGGCAACCUGGUGGCGAGUGGCGAACGGGUGGGUAAUGCAUCGGAACGUACCUUUCAGUGGGGGAUAACGUAGCGAAAGUUACGCUAAUACCGCAUAUUCUGUUAGCAGGAAAGCAGGGGAUCGCAAGACCUUGCGCUGAUUGAGCGGCCGAUGUCAGAUUAGCUAGUUGGUGAGGUAAAGGCGCACCAAGGCGACGAUCUGUAGCGGGUCUGAGAGGAUGAUCCGCCACACUGGAACUGAGACACGGUCCAGACUCCUACGGGAGGCAGCAGUGGGGAAUUUUGGACAAUGGGGGCAACCCUGAUCCAGCCAUGCCGCGUGAGUGAAGAAGGCCUUCGGGUUGUAAAGCUCUUUCGGCCGGGAAGAAAUCGCACGGGCUAAUACCCUGUGUGGAUGACGGUACCGGAAUAAGAAGCACCGGCUAACUACGUGCCAGCAGCCGCAGUAACAC
rnacentral:rRNA from 1 species